rnacentral:rRNA from 1 species
CAUAAUCUCUGAGGAGAAAAGCAGGGGAUCGCAAGACCUUGCGCUUUUGGAGCGGCCGAUGUCUGAUUAGCUAGUUGGUGAGGUAAAGGCUUACCAAGGCUUCGAUCAGUAGCUGGUCUGAGAGGACGACCAGCCACACUGGGACUGAGACACGGCCCAGACUCCUACGGGAGGCAGCAGUGGGGAAUUUUGGACAAUGGGGGCAACCCUGAUCCAGCCAUGCCGCGUGAGUGAAGAAGGCCUUCGGGUUGUAAAGCUCUUUCAGCCGGAACGGAACGGUCACGGUUAAUAACUGUGAUCACUGACGGUACCGGAAGAAGAAG